GUGCUGAGAUUUUACUCAACCUGCAAGCUGAAGGGUGAGCCUGCCCUCUCCCCAAGGGCGUGCAGAAGACACAAGACUCCCGGCUCAGAAACAGAGAUCAGUCUAUUGUUCACAGCAGCAGCCAUGCGCGGAGGAUUGUUCCAGUGUCAUUUGCUGGGACUUGUGCCUGGGCUGUCAAUACUCUUCUACGCUGCCUGGGGCCUGCUCUGGGGAAUGCAUCGCAAACACACAAUCAAUUCACAGUAAAUGGGCCAAAGAACUCGCGGGCAUCCCCAUCCCCGGGGAGGUGACACUCCGCGCUGGCGCGGCGUCAGACAAACCCCAACACGCACUUGUGAUGACACCAGGGCCAUGCGGAGAAGCUGUGAGCUCGCCUCAAAGUUCCCAGAGGAUUUGAAUGUGAACUGAGAAGGUUUAUUUCU